GACGGUUAAAACCCUUCCUUUACCA
rnacentral:tRNA from 1 species